CUCAAAAUGGCGGGCUUACGGUUUCAAAAGCAAAUGGAAAAUAAACAAUUUGAAUAUGGAAAAACAGUUUGAAUUGCUUUAACUGUUAAAUCGACCGUGCGCAGUCCCUCAGGAGAAAGGAGGGACUGCCGAAACACAUCAAGAAACAAAAUAUGUGUCGCCCACACAACGAAAAAUUCCCGUUGGUCGAAAUCAAUGUGCCUGUCAGUCAAAUCUGAGAUGUAGUAAUUAUGCCAUAAAUAAUUUCCAGACUGAAUGUUGAUUUUAUAACUAAACAUGACAGGCUUAAAUGAACGGUUAUUAUUCGAUUGAUUUGAUUGGAUAUAAAGCGGGCGUAUUUCGUUUCUUCAUGUGUUGUCGGCAGUCUCUCCUUUCGCCUUGUGCACCCGGGAAAUUAAAUCAGCAGAAAAGAGGGACCACACGCCCUCUACUGUCUAAAUGAAUGGAUUUUUUUCGUGCAAUUUUGUAUUUUAUGUCAGUUUUGAUUUUUGAUAACGUCUGCACUCAAAUUACCACACAAAUCGACUUAGUGAACAUUAAAUACGGCAAAUUUGCCCGGAUUGAGAGAAAAAUGCAGCCGGACACCGGAUUUGGAAAAUUCGUCAAAUUUGGUAGAAAUUUAAAUCUGGUGCACCCCUAAUAUAAACUUAGAGUUAGGAAUAAAUUUAACAACAAAGAACUGAAAAUGUUUAAACAUUACAAUUUAGUCACCUUUCAUCAAUCCAUGUGUGUUCAUAUGAUCUUCAAGUUUCCUUGGAAUAUCAAAUUCAAUGUCACACAUGGUACAAAUAUAUCCAACACCGGUUGGUUCCAUUGACUCCAAUUCCUGGCAUAAACCACAUUGAAAAUUUAUACUAUUGCCAUAUUGCCGUGCUAUAUGUUGCACUAAUUUUGUAAAAUUGGAAAAAUGCAUGUUGCAUUUCAUACAAACAUGUUGUCCAGUGACUUCAUCCUUGAAAACAUGUUCUUGUAUAUCUUGUGGCUGAGUAAUUUCUCUAUGACAAGUGGUACAUAAUAAAUGUGAUUUUUUGUGCAAUUGUAGACUAUGUCCCCGAGAAAAUUUCUUUUUACAAACAUCACAUCCAUAAAGUUUAUCUCCAGUGUGUGUUCUUUUAUGCCUUACUAAAUUACUUGACUCAGAGAAUUUCUUCUUGCAAACAUCACAUUCAUAAGGUUUGUCUCCAGUGUGUGUUCGUUUAUGUCUUGCUAAACUGCUUGACUGGGAAAAUCCCUUCUUACAAACAUCACAUUCAUAAGGAUUAUCUCCCAUGUGUGUUCUUUUAUGUCUUACAAAAUUGCUUGACCGAGAGAAUUUCUUUUUGCAAACAUCACAUUCAUAAGGUUUGUCUCCAGUGUGUGUUCGUUUAUGUCUUGCUAAACUGUUCGACAGAGAAAAUCCCUUCUUACAAACAUCACAUUCAUAAGGUUUCUCUCCAGUGUGUGUUCUUUUAUGUUUUAACAAAUCAUUUGAUUGAGAAAAUUUCUUAUUGCAAACAUCACAUUCAUAAGGUUUGUCUCCAGUGUGUGUUCGUUUAUGUGUUGCUAAACUGCGCGACUGAGAAAAUCUCUUCUUACAAACAUCACAUGCAGACUAUUUCUCUCCAGUGUGUGUCCUAUUGUGUCUUGCUAACUUGUUUGAUGUUGAAAAUCGGUUCUUGAAAACAUCACAUUCAUAAUCAUUGUGUGUUCUUCCUUCUCCUACUGCGUCGUAGCUGCUCGAAGUUGAAAACAUAUCCUUUAAUAUACGAUCUCACAAAUCACAAUUGACAAUGAAUGAACGAUGAGAUCGACAUAUAAAAUAAAUCCUAAACACGUUGAAACGGCUUAGAAUAUUGAACGUCGACACUCAGUG